rnacentral:sRNA from 1 species
GCGUGGCGGCGCGCGCAGCGGCAGGCGGCGGCGGGAUGGAGCCCGAGCCCGCGGCCGUGGAGGUUCCCGCGGGGCCCGUGCUCAGCGCCCGGGAGCUCUUCGCCGCCCGCUCGCGGUCGCAGAAGCUGCCCCAGCGCUCGCAUGGCCCCAAGGACUUUCUUCCCGACGGAUCGGCGGCUCAGGCCGAGCGGCUGCGCCGGUGCCGGGAAGAGCUCUGGCAGCUGCUGGCAGAGCAGCGCGUGGAGCGCCUGUGAGAGGGGCGGGCCCGGGGGUGAGGGAAGCGGGGGCGAGGCGGGCCGCGGGGCCUCCCGAAUGGACUGACGCAGACCCCUCCCCACUCCUCGCCAGGGGCAGCUUGGUGGCUGCCGAGUGGAGGCCGGAAGAGGGCUUCGUGGAGUUGAAGUCUCCCGCGGGCAAAUUCUGGCAGACCAUGGGCUUCUCGGAGCAGGGCCGGCAGCGGCUUCACCCGGAAGAGGCCUUGUAUCUUCUGGAGUGUGUGAGUGGGGCCCGGGAGGUGGGGAAGGAGUUGGGACCAAAGAACGGGAAGCACACGUUUUAUCGGAGAAAAAGCACACACAACCCGGUCUUUAGAGAACUGAUAACCGAACUUCUAAAGCAGGAGGUAGUACGUUGCAGGGAGCAGGGAUUCCAGUCCACAUUAGUGGUGCUGCCCCACUUUCCUGGUUGACCACAUUCUUGAUGUGCUGCUGAGAGGCGGAGGGGGAGU